CAAUGGUUGCCUUUCCUGCCGCUACUGAGAUGGUCUCUCCAGCCUGAAAGCUGUGCUCUCGGUGUGCACGGAGCACGAGGAGCCGGGAAUUCAAGGGACCGAGACAGCCAGAGGCUGGGGCCUGUUGGACCUACCUGGGAGAUGCCCCAUGGUGAUGUCUGUGCGCCUGGGAUUGGGAAGGGGGCUGCUCACCCCACUGGCCUGUGUGGAUGGAGCUCAGCUGGGAAGGUGAAAUAAGAGCAACUUCAGAAGGAGACAGGGAGAACAGCAGCUCCUGAUCUACUUCCUGUAUCCCGGUCGUUACUACAGUGGCACACCAGCACCACUAUAGUUAAGUUUGCGUAAAGAUGGCUGUGUAAAGAUGCAGCUCCAACGCUUGUGACAGCAGAGGAGUUGCGACCAGGAAAUUGCCAGGUGGAUUGGAGAGGCCUAGCAGAUCACCGGUCCAGACACCACCACAGGGAAACGUCACAACUGCUGCUUAGCCAGUCGGUACCCAGUCUGUAGCAGUGCCUGAGUUUCUUCCGUCCUAAGUGUAGGACUCUGCACUUGCCCUUGUUGAACCUCAUCAGAUUUCUUUUGGCCCAAUCCUCUAAUUUGUCUAGGUCACUCUGGACCCUAUCCCUACCCUCCAGCGUAUCUACCUCUCCCCUCAGUUUAGUGUCAUCUGUGAACUUGCUGAGGGUGCAAUCCAUCCCAUCAUCCAAAUCAUUAAUUAAGAUGUUGAACAAAACCGGCCCCAGGACCAACCCCUGGGGCACUCCGCUUAAUACCAGCUGCCAACUAGACAUCGAGCCGUUGAUCACUACCCAUUGAGCCUGACAAUCUAUCCAGCUUUCUACCCACCUUACAGUCCAUUCAUCCAAUCCAUCCUUUUUUAACUUGCUGGCAAGAAUACUGUGGGAGACCGUAUCAAAAGCUUUGCUAAAGUCCACAUGUAUCACAUCCACCACCUUCCCCAUAGCCACAGAGCCAGUGUGUGCCUCAUCAUAGGAGGCAAUCAGGUUGGUCAGACAUGACUUGCCCUUGGUAAAUCCAUGUUGACUGUUCCUGAUCACCUUCCUCUCCUCGAAGUGCUUCAAAAUGGUUUCCUUGAGGACCUGCUCCAUGAUUUUUCCAGGGACUGAGGUGAGGCUGACCGGUCUGUAGUUCCCUGGGUUCUCCUUCUUCCCUUUUUAAAAGAUGGGCACUAUAUUUGCCUUUUUCCAAUCAGCCGGGACCUCCCCCAGUCACCACAAGUUUUCAAAGAUAAUGGCCAAUGGCUCUGCAAUCACAUCAGUUAAUUCCCUCAGGACCCUCGGAUGCAUUAGAUCUGGACCCAUGGCCUUGUGCAUGUCCAGCUUUUCUAAAUAGUCUUUAACCUGUCCUUUUACCACGGAGGGCUGCUCAUCUCCUCCCCAUGCUGUGCUGCCCUGGACAGCAAUGUGGGAGCUGAUCUUGUCUGUGAAGGCCGAAUAGGGUGACCAGGUGUCCCGAUUUUAUAGGGACAGUCCCGAUAUUUGGGGAUUUUUUUAUAUGGGCUCCUAUUACCCCCCCACCCCUGUCCCGAUUUUUCACACUUGCUGUGUGGUCACCCUAAGACCGUGGCAAAAAAAGCAUUGAGUACUUCAGCUUUUUCCACAUCAUUUGUCACUAGGCUGCCUCCCCCAUUCAGUAAGGGGCCCACACUUUCCCUGACCUUUUCCUUGUUGCUAACAUACCUGUAGAAACCCUUCUUGUUACCCUUCACAUCCCUUGCUAGCUGCAACUCCAGUUGUGGUUUGGCCUUCCUGAUUACGCCCCGGCAUGCUUGAGCAAUAUUUUUAUACUCCUCCUCCCUAGUCAUCUGUCCAAGUUUCCAUUUCUUGUAAGCUUCCUUUUUGUGUUUAAACUCACCAAAGAUUUCUCUGUUAAGCCAAGCUGGUCGCCUGCCAUAUUUGCUCUUCUUUCUGCACAUCAGGAUGGUUUGUUCCUGCACCCUCAAUAAGGCUUC